UCUCUUAAUUAUCUUGUCCUUGUAUAGGACACAUCCUGGACUUCCUGGCCGUGUUCCUUUGUUGAAGACGCACAUUCAGAAUGUCUGGAGAGCACAGCACUAGCAUAAUAGAUGCCAGAAGCCAAACACCUCCACUCUUCAUCACUGAAAAUCGUAAUUCUCCAGUGUAAAUGAAAAGGCAAGAUUGUACUCAGAAGCACCAAGCACAGCAGAAGGUAGUGUUUCUCAGAAGAAUAAUUUGCCAGGCAAGUUUGUGUGGCAGAACCUCAAAGCAAGUCCAUGUCUUUUGUGGAGCCAAGACUGUACUUUUUCCUAUGUUUCGCAGCCACUCUAGAGAACUUGAAGGAGACAUUCAGUUGGCAGUACAUGCAUGACACUUUACCACCAAAGAUCAUUACUAUUCUUUCAUUGCCUUGAAUUUGAGUGGCCUGUGACUGCUUUGACCAGUAGUCACAAGGAGAGGCCCUGGAGCGCCAGAUAUAUGAAUGAAUAAACUACCUUGGUAUCCAGCCUACUUGAGCCUU
rnacentral:lncRNA from 13 species